rnacentral:sRNA from 1 species
GCCGGACAUGGUGGCUCAUGCCUGUAAUUCUAGCAUCUUGGGAGGCUGAGGCAGGAGGAUAGCAAUUUCAAAGCCAGCCUUAGUAACUUAGAGGCUCUAAGCAACUUAGUGAGAUCCUGUUUCAA